AGAGUAUUAAGAGAAUCUUUCCCUAAUACGAGAGGACAGAAGAAGGAAACACCUUUUGUAUGCUAGUUAUUAUGCCCAAUGUAAAUGUUAGGUAGCAAAGAGAGGAAAAAGCGAAAAACUACUAAAAGCAUCUAAGUAAGAAAACCAUCCUAAGAUGAAUAUUCU
rnacentral:ncRNA from 1 species